GAGCUCCGCCGGAGGAUGAGGACAUGGAUGCUCAUCUCCCCGUUCUGCAAAGGGCAACAUCAGAUAGUAUAAGCAGAGAAGGUACAUCAAGGGACCCUAGAAGGUCUGUUGAUGAGAGUAGAAGGGGAGUUGUCCAGAGUGGUAUGUCAGGGUUUAUGAGGGAAAUAGAGGAGAAUGAGCAGAGUAGAGAUGGUAGCUUUGGCAGGAGUAGGUUGGGAGGAGAUAUGGGUGAGUCCCAAGGAGGCACUCAGGCCUCGAGAUUUGUUCCACCUCAGUAUCCACCCUACCAGUGGGGGGCAGAGUACCCGAUGAGAGGUAC
rnacentral:lncRNA from 1 species